CCCUUAGAUGUUCUGGGCCGCACGCGCGCUACACUGACGAAUGCAACGAGCUUAUAACCUUGGCCGAAAGGUCUGGGUAAUCUCCAAAUUUCGUCGUGAUGGGGAUAGAUUAUUGCAAUUAUUAAUCUUCAACGAGGAAUGCCUAGUAAGCGCAAGUCAGCAGCUUGCGUUGAUUACGUCCCUGCCCUUUGUACACACCGCCCGUCGCUCCUACCGAUUGAAUGGUCCGGUGAAGCGUUCGGACCGUGGCCUUUGGACGGUUCGCCGUCUGUUGGCUGCGGGAAGUUCGUUAAACCUUAUCAUUUAGAGGAAGGAGAAGUCGUAACA
rnacentral:rRNA from 1 species